GCCAGCACUCCAGCACUAUCUGCUGUUAAUGGAAGAAGAGUAAUCCUGGGGGACAAACGUGUGUGCAACUAGCUGUGGACAACUUGUCUCAGGAAAACAGUAAAGAGGACUCACUCGGCAAGUCUGGCGACGGGAAUAUUUCUUUACUAUGUCGUGGCCAGGUUAGCCCACGGAUACGUUCAGCCCUGGCUAUAAAGCAGUAUGGACUCCUAUAUGGGAGAAAAGCCUAACUUAUUGUGGGAGCACAAGAAAAACUGCGAUUCAACUGAAGUAAGAAGAAAAUACUUUCAGAAAGCUGUCUGAGAAAUAAAGUGUCCUAUUAACGGCAGUUUCAUUGUAAUCUAGGGAAUAAUGUAAUUCACAGCUACCUAGCCUCAGAUAGAAAAUUUCCACAGAGGGGCUCAGGGGGUUUAAGUCAAUUGUAAAAACACUGCAGGAUUGCUAAUUAAUGCACAGUAAGCUCAGGAUUGGGUAGGUGGCCUCGUACUGAAUACUCAUUUUGGAAUAGACUGCCAAAUAGUUUUUCCUUUUUUCUUUUUUUUUUUUUAAACUGGGGUAGUCAAGAGCCUUUUGAAUUUGCUGUAGUUAAUUGUGAAAUUAUUGUCUGAUGCACCAGAAGCUUUGAAAGAGCAUGACAUUUUGGCAAAGACAAACAUUUUCUUCCCAGAAAAAAAGCACUUGACGCUUGGCAUUUCUUCUUGCUGCUGAUUGCACCACCGACUGGUGGGAUUGGUUGAAAGGAUGGCCAGGCACAAAGAGAGCUGAAUUGAGGGCUCUGGCGUAGAGAAAUCUAAUUAAAAUCAGUCUGUCGCUAGACCUGGACACAAAAGAAAACCCAUUAUUUCACAUCUAUUAGAAGUGAUCUGGAGCAGGUUAUCUACAUCAUAAAAACAGAAGAAAGAAGCAGUGUGAGUGAUGGCGUACCAAAAGCCAACUUCCAGUUGAAGACACCCCAGGGGCUGAGGCUAAAACAGUAAUGUCUUUAGUGGUAAUGUUAGGCAUGUGAUUCUUUCUUACUCUUUUCUUGUGAGGGGUCAAACUACUGUUCUGUUUUCCCAUUAUAAUAUAUUUUCAUGUUCUGAGGAUUUGUUGGUCUUUUUAUCUUCUAAUUGUUGGGUUAGUGGCUUGGAAUUGGGCUCAAACACCCAAGCACCUUGUUCUGCGAUUCUGAGAAAAUCAUCAGCUUGCUUGUGCUAACAUUAUAUGAUGGAGUAUCUGUGUCAGUUCUAAUGUGAAUAUAUACUAAUAAAAGGUAGUCACUGACUGACUGACCUGACUGACUGACUGA